rnacentral:rRNA from 1 species
UACGUAGGGUGCAAGCGUUGUCCGGAAUUAUUGGGCGUAAAGAGCUCGUAGGCGGUUCGUUAAGUCAGCUGUGAAAGCCCCGGGCUCAACCUGGGAACUGCGGUUGAAACUGGCGAACUAGAAUCUGGCAGAGGGGGGUGGAAUUCCACGUGUAGCAGUGAAAUGCGUAGAGAUGUGGAGGAACACCGAUGGCGAAGGCAGCCCCCUGGGCUGAGAUUGACGCUCAGGCACGAAAGCGUGGGGAGCAAACAGG